UACGUAGGGUGCGAGCGUUAAUCGGAAUGACUGGGCGUAAAGGGUGCGUAGGCGGUUUGCUAAGACGGAUGUGAAAUCCCUGGGCUCAACCUAGGAACAGCAUACGUGACUGGCAGGCUAGAGUAUCGAAGAGGGGGGUAGAAUUCCACGUGUAGCAGUGAAAUGCGUAGAGAUGUGGAGGAAUACCGGUGGCGAAGGCGGCCCCCUGGACAAAGACUGACGCUCAGGUGCGAAAGCGUGGGGAGCAAACAGG
rnacentral:rRNA from 1 species